rnacentral:rRNA from 1 species
UAAUUACUUUAAACUUAAAAAAUUUGGCGGUAACUUAAUCUUACUAGAGGAACCUGUUUACUAAGCGAUAAUACACGUAGUAUCUUACUUAUUUUAGGUAAAUUUCAGUUUGUAUACCAUCAUUAUCAGAUAAUUCUAAAAGGAUAAAUUCUUUUCUCACUAGUUUAUUAUUAAAAUUAGAUCAUGGUGCAGCUUAUAAAUAAGUAAAAAUGGGUUACAAUAAUUUAUUAUUAUAACGGAUUAGUUUAGUGAAAUAUAAUUUUGAAGGAGGAUUUAGUUGUAAUAUGGGUUUAAUAAGCCUUAAUGAAAUAAGCUCUAAUUUAUGUACAUAUCGCCCGUCGCUUCCAUUCAUAGGUGGAAUAAGUCGUAACAUAGUAAGUAUACUGGAAAGUGUACUUAGAAAUUAAU